AUUGAACGCUGGCGGCAGGCCUAACACAUGCAAGUCGAACGCGAAAGUCACUUCGGUGGCGAGUAGAGUGGCGGACGGGUGAGUAACGCGUAGGAAUCUGCCCUGUAGUGGGGGAUAACCCGGGGAAACUCGGGCUAAUACCGCAUACUGCCUUCGGGUCAAAGGCUUCGGCCGCCAGAGGAUGAGCCUGCGUCGCAUUACCUAGUUGGUGGGGUAAUGGCCCACCAAGGGGACGAUGCGUAGCUGGUCUGAGAGGAUGAUCAGCCACACUGGGACUGAGACACGGCCCAGACUCCUACGGGAGGCAGCAGUGGGGAAUAUUGCGCAAUGGGGGGAAACCCUGACGCAGCCACGCCGCGUGGGUGAUGAAGGCC
rnacentral:rRNA from 1 species